rnacentral:rRNA from 1 species
UCGUAACAAGGUCUCCGUUGGUGAACCAGCGGAGGGAUCAUUACUGAGUUUACGCUCUAUAACCCUUUGUGAACAUACCUAUAACUGUUGCUUCGGCGGGUAGGGUCUCCGCGACCCUCCCGGCCUCCCGCCUCCGGGCGGGUCGGCGCCCGCCGGAGGAUAACCAAACUCUGAUUUAACGACGUUUCUUCUGAGUGGUACAAGCAAAUAAUCAAAACUUUUAACAACGGAUCUCUUGGUUCUGGCAUCGAUGAAGAACGCAGCGAAAUGCGAUAAGUAAUGUGAAUUGCAGAAUUCAGUGAAUCAUCGAAUCUUUGAACGCACAUUGCGCCCGCCAGCAUUCUGGCGGGCAUGCCUGUUCGAGCGUCAUUUCAACCCUCAAGCUCUGCUUGGUGUUGGGGCCCUACAGCUGAUGUAGGCCCUCAAAGGUAGUGGCGGACCCUCCCGGAGCCUCCUUUGCGUAGUAACUUUACGUCUCGCACUGGGAUCCGGAGGGACUCUUGCCGUAAAACCCCCCAA